rnacentral:rRNA from 1 species
AGCGAACGCUGGCGGCAGGCUUAGCACAUGCAAGUCGAACGGGCACUUCGGUGCUAGUGGCAGACGGGUGAGUAACGCGUGGGAACGUACCUUUCGGUUCGGAAUAAUUCAGGGAAACUUGGAUUAAUACCGGAUUCGCCCUUCGGGGGAAAGAUUUAUCGCCGAUAGAUCGGCCCGCGUCUGAUUAGCUAGUUGGUGAGGUAAUGGCUCACCAAGGCGACGAUCAGUAGCUGGUCUGAGAGGAUGAUCAGCCACAUUGGGACUGAGACACGGCCCAAACUCCUACGGGAGGCAGCAGUGGGGAAUAUUGGACAAUGGGCGCAAGCCUGAUCCAGCCAUGCCGCGUGAGUGAUGAAGGCCUUAGGGUUGUAAAGCUCUUUUGUCCGGGAAGAUAAUGACUGUACCGGAAGAAUAAGCCCCGGCUAACUUCGUGCCAGCCGCCGCCGUAAAAC